rnacentral:rRNA from 1 species
AUUGAACGCUGGCGGCAGGCCUAACACAUGCAAGUCGAGCGGUAGCACAGAAGAGCUUGCUCUUUGGGUGACGAGCGGCGGACGGGUGAGUAAUGUCUGGGAAACUGCCUGAUGGAGGGGGAUAACUACUGGAAACGGUAGCUAAUACCGCAUAACCUCGCAAGAGCAAAGAGGGGGACCUUCGGGCCUCUCGCCAUCAGAUGUGCCCAGAUGGGAUUAGCUAGUAGGUGAGGUAAUGGCUCACCUAGGCGACGAUCCCUAGCUGGUCUGAGGGGAUGACCCGCCACACUGGAACGUGGACACGGUCCAGACGCCUACGGGAGGCAGCAGUGGGGAAUAUUGCACAAUGGGCGCAAGCCUGAUGCAGCCAUGCCGCGUGUGUGAAGAAGGCCUUCGGGUUGUAAAGCACUUUCAGCGGGGAGGAAGGCGGUAAGGUUAAUAACCUUAUCGAUUGACGUUACCCGCAGAAGAAGCACCGGCUAACUCCGUGCCAGCCGCCGCAGUAA